rnacentral:lncRNA from 1 species
UGAUAAGGUUACCGUUGGAAACAACGAGUUUAUUUAUUUAUUGAUUUUGUUAAAUAUGACCAACAAACAAACAACUAUUGACAUUUCUCGAUCAAUGUUAUGAUAUAUAAAACAUAUCAAUAUUACCUUAUCAUAUACAAGGAAUUGUGGAAUCCACUAUUCCGUGGCUCGAAUGGUGCACGCAGAUAUCCUAUGAUGCUUUCUACCAAGAAAGCAUAAUAGGAUGCACCAUCCGAGAUUUGAAUACUUGUUUCCACUCUCAAAGAUUGGAGGAUUGCAACCACUAGGACAUUGCUGUGUUUACAUCAAACGAUGUUAAUUAGUCAACUUGCUUGUCGUCCGGUGCAUGGAUAUCAUAUGAUUCCAAGUGGAUAUGAGGUAGCUGAAUGGAUAAGGUGGAUUCAGUGACUAGCCACGCUAUUGCUAAUACUACUUCGUGCAGUUUCGGGGGGGGGGGGGGGGGGAUUAAGAGUAAAUAAUAACAAUCCCUAUGG